rnacentral:rRNA from 1 species
UACGAAGGGGGCUAGCGUUGUUCGGAAUCACUGGGCGUAAAGGGCGCGUAGGCGGCCGAUCAAGUCGGGGGUGAAAGCCUGUGGCUCAACUCCAGAACUGCCUUUGAUACUGAGGACCUUGAGUUCGGGAGAGGUGAGUGGAACUGCGAGUGUAGAGGUGAAAUUCGUAGAUAUUCGCAAGAACACCAGUGGCGAAGGCGGCUCACUGGCCCGAUACUGACGCUGAGGUGCGAAAGCGUGGGGAGCAAACAGG